ensembl:rRNA 5S_rRNA 5S ribosomal RNA
GUCUACGGCCAUACCACCCUGAACGCACCCGAUCUCGUCUGAUCUCGGAAGCUAAGCAGGGUCGGGCCUGGUUAGUACUUGGAUGGGAGACCGCCUGGAAAUAUCGGGUGCUGUAGGCU